AAUUUAGCUUUUCCACCCUGAGAGAGCAAAAAGGAAAGACGAGAAUCCCUGAACACUGUCAUGAUUUGCAUCCAUAUACGUGUUCUUAGUUACCAAUAUCAUGACAUGAGAUUACCUUAUAGGUGCAUGUUGAUGGGAAAUGGAUGAUUGAUGAGCUUUUAAUUUUCCAUUUAUAUAUUUUUCAGAUUUUUUUUUUGUUUGGUAAUUUAAGAAAAUAAAAAAUCUUACAAUUGGUGUAGGGAAAUUGGUCAAGCCAAGCAUGUUAUGUGUUGAACCAACAAACAUUUGCUGGAAUUCCAAUCAUAUCAUAAUGCUUUCUUUAAGUCCUAACUGUAGUGAUUGCAACAUGGUUUGAGGAAAUGCUCGUAUCUUUCCCUUAAAAGACCUUUUUUUUUUAGUAUUGAUAUAAAAUGUUUCAUUUUUAAAUUAAUCCAUUAUACUUUAUUUUCAUCAAACAGAAUGUAAGUAUAGAUUUGGGGCUUUGUAGGGGACCUCUAUCCUGUUUGUUCUUGAAUUUAGGGGUACAUAAUCAAGCAUUCAUGCACACUAUGGCAAUGGAAGUACAUGGUAGUAUUUUGCUCGUGUCCCAAGACUAGAAAUAUAAAAUAUCCUUUAUCCACACAUUAGAAAUCCAGAAUCUGUUUGAUUGGAGACCUUUUCCUCCUUCAAACCAUCUCUAUUGUAUGCAUUGGCCAUCUCCUUGGAAGAAAUCAAGGAAUCUACGUCUAAUAUGUAGCCAUUGUCCUCUGUGAAUUCUCUCAUGUAAUCAUGUCUACUUUAUAAUUGUAUGUGUAUAAUGAGAGAAGCACUUGGUCGUUUGUGAAA